CUUCCCUGAAACUUCCCUUCCCUGAAACUUCCCUUCCCCUCCUUUUCCCCCCUUCUUUCUCCUUUUCCCCCCUUCCCUUUCUGUGCUGCACGUGUCCAGAGAACAGAACAGAGUUGGGAAUGGGUCUGGAGCACAAAUCUGAUGAGAAGCAGCUGAGGGAGCUUUGGGGGCUCAACCUAAAGAAAAGGAAGCUCAGGAGGGACCCUCUGGCUCUCCAAAAUUCCCUGACAGGAGGGUGCAGCCAGGUGGAGUUUAUUCACCCUGCAAAAGGCUCUAGCCCCUCUCACCCUUUCUGAGGAUGAGGGGACCAGGGAUGUUCAACAGGGUCAGCCCCAACCUCCUGAAACCCCAAAACAGACCAGGAAAUGCAGAACUGACCUCCCCAUCCCAUUUGGGACAUGGCACACAGGCCAAGGAAGGCUGAAAGGCUGCUGAGGACACCAAGGGACAGUCUGUUCUCCUUGUCCCUGAAGGGCAGGACAAGCACAGGACGUGCUACAAGCAAGGGAAAUGUGGGAUAAGGCAAAGCUUUCUGCUGGGCAGGGGUGAGCAAGGACCAGGACACACUGCCAGGAGGUUUGAGAGGUCUCUUAGAGCAAGCACCAGUUGCUGCUUCUUUUACAGAAACACCUGUUAAGGCUGGAGCUAGUGAGGGUCUGCUUGAAGCCACAGGUGGGCAUGAUGGCCUUGGGGGUCCCCUGUGGCUCUGAGUCCAUGGGAAAGGACAACCCAGCUGUCCUUGACUUCCAAGAGAAGGAGAAGAUGUAACAGGGCUUUGAACCUCAGCACAAAUCAGUGAGAACUUAAUAA